UCCCAGUGAUGAAAAAUUUAGUAAUCUGAAUACAUGCAUGGAACUUUUGAAAAGUCGGUGCUCCCUUUUGCAAGAUCGCUGCGGAGGUUGAGGAACCAACGUUUCAUGCCAGGUUGAGACUAGGCAUUCUGAGGGUA